CUUGUCUGCCCAGGUCCCUGGGCUAGCAGGGUAUCAGUGGGCUCUGAGGUGUGGAAGAGCACAGGUGAGGGUCUGGGGCUGCUGAAGACGCGUCCCGCUGUGCCUGGGCGCUGCUGCUGGUGUGAUGUGCCAGGAAACCAGCCAUCUCCAUUGGCUGGAGUGCUGGACUUCCACAGGCAGAGGAACAGGCCCUGACCUGAACCUCACCUUAUGCAAAGUUAACUCAAUGGACUAGAGACCCAAAUGUAAAUGCAAAAACAAAAACACUGCCAGAACCCGUCCCUCUCCCCAAGUCGCCACGUCCUGGAUUGUAUGGCGAUUCCAUAGCGGCUUCUUGUGAAUAGUGCCAUUGUCAGUAUCUCAGUGCAGGUUUACAGUGGGCAUGCAAUGGUGCCUCACUGUGGUUCUCAUUUGCAUCUUUCUGCUUUUUAAUUAGUGAAGGAGAGAAAUCUGCCUUAUGCUUGACAGGUGUUGAGACCUCUUUUUAACGAAGUGCCUGUUCAGCUGAGUGUGGUGGCUCAGCAGCUUGGGAGGCUGAGGCAGGAGGGUUGCAAGUUCAAGGCCAGCUUCAGUAACUUGGCAAGACUCUGUUAAGCCCCCCUGGGUUACCAAAAAAAAAAAAAAAAAGUGCCUGUGCACAUUAGUGGCAGAUGGCCCUGUCGGCCUGAAGUGUUCUUCACCGGUUCCAAACCAAGCCUCAACAUGGGUCACACAUGCUUGUUCUUUCACUCUCUGUGUCCUACUACAGUGAACUCCAGGGCUCUUUCCCUUCAUGCUGGGUGCUCUGGUGUCAGUCUAAAUCUCUUCAUAUCCCCACGGACACAGAGAUCUUUUCCUACUCAAUCUGCCAGAUGUUUGAGUUCAGACCCGCAGCCACUGGAAUCCACGUCUGUGCGGUACCCAUGUGUUUCCUGUUGAGUCCCUCGUCAUGUUCGUGUCUCAUGCGAGUGUACAACUUUCCUGGCACAUUUUUCAGAAGAUCGUACUCACCUCUGCCACCUUUAUUCUAAAUCAAAGGCCUAACCUGUGCAGCUGCACUUGAAUGUUGCUGGUCAGAGGGAGAGAGCUCCAGAGGGCCUGGUGCAAAUCAGUUUUGCUUGCAGCUCGCUGGCCAGACCCCUUAAGCCAUUUGACUCCAUGACCACAGCCGAUCAGGAAGUGCGAUCCCAUCGUUAGUCUAGAAGGUGGAGGGGUGGACAUAUACAGUGGACAGCUCUAAUAACUACUUGGUUCUGUAUUUUCCAUUACUUUGUCUUGGUUUUUUCUGCAUAUUUUCUUCUAACAUUUCUACCAGUUCACUAAUUCUCUCUUCCAGCUACAUCUAUCUGAUUAUUAAAUAUGUACGCUUUCUUCUUAAUUUGGCUAAUUUUAAUUUCUAGAAAUUUCAUUUCACACACAUACACGCGCGUGCGUGCACACAUCUUUCAGCUUUUACCAAAAAUCUCACUCUAGGCUUCCAUCUCCUUGAACAUAAUAAAUAUAUUAUUUUGACAUCUGUAGCUGAUAACUCCAAACUCUGGAUCCCUGUGGAUUAUCUCUGUAACCUGUAGUCUAGCAAGUUUUUACUCAUACUGUCUUCUGUUAUUUUCUGUGCCUUUUUGUCAUGUUUUUAAUUUUUCAAUAUUUAUUUUUUAGUUUUUGGUGGACACAACAUCUUUAUUUUAUUUUUAUGUGGUGCUGAGGAUCAAACCCAGCGCCCCACGCAUGCCAGGAAAGCGCGCUACCGCUUGAGCCACAUCCCCAGCCCCUCAUGUCAUGUUUUAUCUGUAGCAAUAAUUUGAAGCCCAGCAAAAUGACACCUCCCUUGACCAAGGCUCUCCUACUGCCCUGACCUGUGCUGAGCACUGACAGCCUGGAGUCACCCUACCAAUUUCAAGGCUAAGCCAAAGUCUCUUUGAGGGCCUAACUCUGGGUCACCUUUAUCCUAAGGGUGCAGUCUUUAGAAACCCAAUCCAGGCUGGGUGUGAUGGUGUGCACCUGUAAUCCCAGCAAAUCUGGAGGCUGAGGCAGGAAGAUUGCAAGUUCAAGGCCAGCCUGGACAAUUUAGUGAGAUCCUGUCUCAAAGUAAAAACUAAAAAGAGCUAGGGAUGCAGCUCAGUGAUAGAAUAUCUCUAGGUUCAACCCCCAGUACCAAAAAAAAAAAAACAAACAAAACAAAAAAAAACAUGUAGAAAUAAAAAUAUCCCCUCCCAAAAAAACCCCAAUACAAGUAAGGAUUAGAGUGGGAUAUUUAUUCACAAACUGUAAAUUCCUUCAGUCACCCUCCACCUGUAUUCAUUCAUCCAUCCAUCCAUCCGAGCCUGUCUUUCUUUUUUGGUUUUUGUACUAAGGGUUGAAUCCAGGGGUGUUUAACCACUAACCACAUCCUCAGUCCUUUUUAAUUUUUGAGACAGUCUGACUAAAUUGCUUAGGGCCUUGAUAAAUUGCUGAGGCUGGCCUCAAACCUGCAAUCCUCCUAUCCCAGCCCUCCGAGCUACUGGGAUUAUAGGCAUGAGCCACCUCGCCUGGCCCUAGUGCCUCUUGAGGAACUCAAGUCAGAGAGCUCAGAGGGUCAUUGCCAGCCUGGGGGUCUUGGUAGCCCUAGGGUUUGUCUUACCUGCCACUGGUAGAUGCUGAGUGCAGUUUUGCAGGGUAGGCAAAUCAAACUGCCUCUGAGAAUGUUUAUUUGAGAUGUUUUGAAAGCAAUUGAAUUUGGCUCUGGGAGGGCUUUGAGCUAACAGCUGCUAUAAAGAAUCGAGCAAGAGGGUGGAGAGACUGGCGGACCUGAACCCUUCCAUGUACAGGUCCUGAGAGGCCACUUUCUACCCAUCAGCCACAUCCCUGGCCUCCUGGAGGCCCACAACCCUCCUGGCAGCCCCUCCCCCCGUAUCUGCCUCCAGCAUCUGCACACAGCCAGGGCACCCUGAGCACCAUCCCCUUCCCUCUGUGAACUCUCCCCAUCAACCCACUUUCAGGCACCCUUGGGUCCUUCCCUCCCACGCGCGGCCUACUUGGGCUUCCUGGGCCACCUCUCCCUCUGGGCAACCUUUCUCCAUCCCUCCCCCUGGGAUGGACGAACCUUCUGCUGCCCGUCACCCAUCCUCACCAGCCCUCCGCCUCAUCAGUCAUGAAGCACUCCAGGGUUCGUCCCUUCACCCCCAUCUGGUCUGGGCUCAGCACCUCCCUUUCCACCUCACACUCACACUGCCCACUACCUGCCUGUGGCCGGCCUCCAGCCUCACACCUGUGUGCUUCCUCUCCAGGCCCCACCCCCAGGCCCAGGUGAUGCGGGCUCCUUGGGCUUCUGCUUGCCAGGCCCAGUUCCCAAUGGGACAGGACCCCUCUCUGCCCUGCCUCUGCCUCCAGCUGUGUCCAUGGCGGGGGGGGGGGGGGUUAGCUGUUAGGGAGCCACCCCCACCCCCCCCUGCACAGCAGGCCCCUGUGGAAGGGGUCAGGCGCUGGUCCUGGCCUUCAGGAGCAGCACCACCCGCUCACG
rnacentral:lncRNA from 1 species